UCAUUGGUUGGGGCCGAUAGAGGGGGUUGGAUUACGCAUAUAUAAACAGCAUACGUGUGUGUGACCCAGACGAGCGUCACUUCCCGGUAUCCCGUUUCGCUUCCGGCGUAUGGACUGAGGGCUGUUGUUAUCUUGGCUGUGCAGGACGAUUGCUGCAACUGUAAACAUCUCCGUGGCUGCAGAUAUUGUGGCUUUGACUUGUCGGCGGCGUGUUUCAUCUGUUUAUGCGAUCACAUUCAGUCAAUACGAUGCUGCGUAUGGGCGGAUGACGACUGUAUAUGCCAAGUUAUUCUCCUUGUGUAUCCUGAGCUCCACCAGCUGAGUGAUUAAACUGAAACUAAAACUUUGCAUUGCCACUAUGGAGUAUUAUCUUCACCUCCACUGAUUCCCGGGUCCCUGUGCCUGUUAUUCGGUAUGUCUCACUCAUGUGGGUUUAUUACAGAAAUGUAUUGUGACGACUGAUUAACAUGAUUAGUUUUCCCCCAUUUUAUAGAGUGAUAGGGGUAUGCAGUGACGUCACCGCUGUCUUGUUCCGGGUUGAAUAUUCGCGUUCGUGAACGUGAAUCCUAUUUUGAUACGUUUGUGAAUCCGCUAAUGCGGUGGGAGUGCUUUUGCACUUAUAUGGUCCAGUUAUGUUUUCAGUGAUUUACUUGUUGUUUUGGGUUAAUUUUUGUAUUAUUGCCAGCGUACUGGCGUGAACAUAUGUUUUCUUUCUGUUUGUUUCAGUGACAAUUGGUUUUGUUUCUUUAUUCUUUAAUUCAAUUUAAUUUGGUUAAUUUUGUUAUUGUGUGUUGGACAGGCAUUAAGUGUCAGCUGUGUUGCCUGCCUGAAUUUUGUAAAUCAUUUUUGUUUCUGUUUGAGUGUGUGUUUGUGUGUGUGCUGUGUUAUUUUGUUUUACAGGAGCUGCAGACCUUUGAUGAAGAGCAGGGCUAAAUAAAGUCUUUCUUUAGGUGGUGAUGGUGUUUCCUCACGGAGUGCUGUGAUUUGCCGUGUGCACUGGGGCUUUUG